GCACGAGAAAGUGGAGCAAUCCAUGAGUACAGUGGCGUACGGGUGAGUAACACGUGGAUCAUCUGCCCUUUAGUGGGGAAUAACCCUGGGAAACCGGGGCUAAUACCGCAUAAUCCUGAGAAGGGAAAGCAGCAAUGCGCUGAAGGAGGAGUCCGCGGCCGAUUAGCUAGUUGGUAGGGUAAUGGCCUACCAAGGCAAUGAUCGGUAGCCGGCCUGAGAGGGCACACGGCCACACUGGCACUGAAACACGGGCCAGACUCCUACGGGAGGCAGCAGUGGGGAAUCUUGCACAAUGGAGGAAACUCUGAUGCAGCGACGCCGCGUGAGCGAUGAAGCCCUUCGGGGUGUAAAGCUCUUUCGACGGGAACGAUAAUGACGGUACCCGGAGAAGAAGCUGCGGCUAACUACGUG
rnacentral:rRNA from 1 species